CUACGGGCGGCUGCAGUGGGGAAUAUUGCACAAUGGGCGCAAGCCUGAUGCAGCCAUGCCGCGUGUAUGAAGAAGGCCUUCGGGUUGUAAAGUACUUUCAGCGGGGAGGAAGGGAGUAAAGUUAAUACCUUUGCUCAUUGACGUUACCCGCAGAAGAAGCACCGGCUAACUCCGUGCCAGCAGCCGCGGUAAUACGGAGGGUGCAAGCGGUAAUCGGAAUUACUGGGCGUAAAGCGCACGCAGGCGGUUGUUAAGUCAGAUGUGAAAUCCCCGGGCUCAACCUGGGAACUGCAUCUGAUACUGGCAAGCCUGGAGCGCGGAGGGGGGGGUAGAAUUCCAGGUGUAGCGGUGAAAUGCGUAAAGAUCUGGAGGAAUACCGGUGGCGAAGGCGGCCCCCUGGACGAAGACUGACCCUCAGGUGCGAAAGCGUGGGGAGCAAACAGGAUUAGAUACCCUAGUAGUC
rnacentral:rRNA from 1 species